UGACCACAACGGCUUCCUGACGUGGUGAGAUUAUUUUGAAUGGAGCA
rnacentral:ncRNA from 1 species